GGAGGAUAAGGUCACCCCGACCCAGUAGACGAAAACCCUAGCCCCAAAUCCUUCUGCCUCUCUCUCUCUUUCGAUUCAGAAGUUUGCCCGAGAGCUACUUGUCAUGGACAUCGUCGUCGUCGCGGCCACCGACUCCCCCGGCGCCUGAAAAGUUGUCCAGGAGUUGCACCAUGGACGUCUCCUUCGGCUACUUCUACUGGUUCGAGCGGGGAAGCACUGCAUCGCGGGGAUCGAUGCGUCUUCCUCGCCUACAGGCGCCGUUGCCCCGCGCCCGAUCUACCUCACCGAAGCUCCUCCGCCCUGCCGGAUGCUCCCUCGGCCUUCCCCUACGUUGGAGCCCAGGAGCCAGACACCACUGUCGAUGACGACUACUACUACUCGGGAGGCGCCUACUACUACGUGCAGCCCGCUGACGACGACCAGGAGUAGUUUAGGAGGAUCCCAGGCAGGAGGCCUGCGCCUCUUUCGAUCUGUAUCCCAGUUUAUGCUAGCCUUCUUAAGGCAAACUUGUUUAUCUUAUGUCUGUGCUCAGAGAUUGUUGCUUCCGCUGACUCGUAUAUGAUCGAGCUCUUGUAUUCGAGCCUUCGAGGCCCCUGGCUUGUAAUAUGAUGCUUGUAUGACUUUUUUAUUUGUAGG
rnacentral:rRNA from 1 species